GUACACGCUGUGACUAGCAUAUCAAUAAGCGGAGGAAAAGAAACUAACAAGGAUUCCCCUAGUAACGGCGAGUGAAGCGGGAAGAGCUCAAAUUUGAAAUCUUAAAGGGUUUCCCUUUACGAAUUGUAGUUUAAAGAAGUGUUUUCUGUUGAGGUUUUGGUAAAAGUUCUUUGGAAUAGGACAUCAUAGAGGGUGAGAAUCCCGUAUUUGACCUUUACUUUCAACUUUGUGAUACACUUUCAAAGAGUCGGAUUGUUUGGGAAUGCAGUCCAAAAUGGGUGGUAAAUUUCAUCUAAAGCUAAAUAUUGGCGAGAGACCGAUAGCGAACAAGUACCGUGAGGGAAAGAUGAAAAGAACUUUGAAAAGAGAGUUAAACAGUACGUGAAAUUGUCAAAAGGGAAGCGUUUGACACCAGUGUUGUUUUUCUGAAAAUCAAUUAAAGAACUGUUUAUGCUAAGUUGUUUAGACUUUAUCAGCUAUCUGUUUAGUUUUGAGCUUUUCUUUAAUGCACUUUUCAGUUAACAAGUCAACAUCAAUUUCUUUUGCUGUAAAAAAGCUUGAGGAAGGUGGCUUGAGAUUCGUCUUAAGUGUUUAUAGCCUCUUGCCUAUGCAGUCGGAGAGAUUGAGGUCUGUAGCGUAGAUCCUUCGGGGCUAAAUGCAUUUGUGCUAAGUUAUAGCAUUUUAUAGACAACUUGUUGACUAUGAUUUGUCUUGUAGCUUACUCGCUUACGUUAUUUUACCUACGCUUAGGAUGUUGAUAUGCAUGACUGAUAU
rnacentral:rRNA from 1 species